UACGUAGGGGGCAAGCGUUAUCCGGAUUUACUGGGUGUAAAGGGAGCGUAGACGGCGAUGCAAGUCUGGAGUGAAAGCCCGGGGCUCAACCCCGGGACUGCUUUGGAAACUGUGUUGCUGGAGUGCAGGAGAGGUAAGUGGAAUUCCUAGUGUAGCGGUGAAAUGCGUAGAUAUUAGGAGGAACACCAGUGGCGAAGGCGGCUUACUGGACUGUAACUGACGUUGAGGCUCGAAAGCGUGGGGAGCAAACAGG
rnacentral:rRNA from 3 species